rnacentral:tRNA from 1 species
AUUUAUAUAGUUUAAAUUAAAACAUUUCAUUUUCAAUGAAAUAAUAAGAACACCUUUAUAAAUA